UACAGAGGGGGCAAGCGUUGCUCGGAAUUACUGGGCGUAAAGGGCGCGUAGGCGGGAUGGCAAGUCGGUCGUGAAAUCCCUCGGCUCAACCGAGGAACGUCGAUCGAUACUGCUGUUCUUGAGGAUUGCAGAGGAGACUGGAAUUCCCGGUGUAGCGGUGAAAUGUGUAGAGAUCGGGAGGAACACCGGUGGCGAAGGCGGGUCUCUGGGCAAUUCCUGACGCUGAGGCGCGAAAGCGUGGGGAGCAAAGCGGG
rnacentral:rRNA from 1 species